UACGAAGGGGGCUAGCGUUGUUCGGAUUUACUGGGCGUAAAGCGCACGUAGGCGGAUCGAUCAGUCAGGGGUGAAAUCCCAGAGCUCAACUCUGGAACUGCCUUUGAUACUGUCGAUCUGGAGUAUGGAAGAGGUGAGUGGAAUUCCGAGUGUAGAGGUGAAAUUCGUAGAUAUUCGGAGGAACACCUGUGGCGAAGGCGGCUCACUGGUCCAUUACUGACGCUGAGGUGCGAAAGCGUGGGGAGCAAACAGG
rnacentral:rRNA from 1 species